ensembl:lncRNA
CUGAAUCUCUAUUCAACUCUACUCUUAGGGUGACCGUAGGCCUUGAGGUAGAGUUUAUAAAGGCACUGAAUCUCUAUUCAACUCUACUCUUAGGGUGACCGUAGGCCUUGAGGUAGAGUUUAUAAAGGCACUGAAUCUCUAUUCAACUCUACUCUUAGGGUGACCGUAGGCCUUGAGGUAGAGUUUAUAAAGGCACUGAAUCUCUAUUCAACUCUACUCUGAGGCCUACGGUCACCCUAAGAGUAGAAUUUAUAAAGGCACUGAAUCUCUUGUCAACUCCACUGACCGUAGGCCUUGAGUUAGAGUUUAUAAAGGCUCUGAAUCUCUAGUCAACUCUACUCUUAAGGUGACCGUAGGCCUUGAGGUAGAGUUUAUAAAGGCACUGAAUCUAGUCAACCUGAAUAUUCCUCAGCAUAGGCUACAUGCCUGCUAGACCUUGGAACUAUGGUUAAAAGCCUUAGCUUCAGCCAGGAUGUAGUUCAUGUAUUGAAUGGUCUUGUCCUCUUAUCAGAAUCAGAAUAGUAUUUAUUGCCAAGUAGGUUUACACCUACCUGGAAUUUGUUUUGGUGUAUAGGUGCAUACAGUGAACAUAAAACAUACAAACACAAUAAGUACUACAAUACAAAAAGCAGGGCAGGAGUGCAAAAGUGGAUGUGCAGUGUGCAAUGUAGUGUGUGUUAACAUACAUAAUGUGUCUUUAGGUCUAUUGAUGUUACCAUCACAUGAUGGCUGAAAAGUAAUUUGUUUUGGGAAGAGGCACGUCCAGGUUUUCGCUGUCCUGCAAUGACAGUAUCAAAAGGAAAAGAGUGACACUAAUAUAAAUAUACAAAACUGAACUAAUAUAGCGUUCAGUAGCCAUGUAAGAAUCUACUUUAAUUAAAACUGAACUAAUAUAGCGUUCAGCAGCCAUGUAAGAAUAUACUUUAAUUAAUGUGUUGCAAAGUAGGAAGCCUAAAGCACUUGUGCAGUGCUAUAAUGUAGGCUAAGUGUAGAAGACACCACUUGUGCUGAAGGUCUAGUUUAGGGUUUUUCAGUAAGUCCAUAUAUACUGCAAAUAUAGCAGUA